GACGAACGCUGGCGGCGUGCUUAACACAUGCAAGUCGAACGGACAGGCCCUGCUUUUGUGGGGUGCUCGAGUGGCGAACGGGUGAGUAACAUGCGAGUAACCUGCCCUUGUCUUUGGGAUAACUUCAGGAAACUGGGGCUAAUACCGGAUAGGAGCUACUGCUGCAUGGUGGGGGAUGGAAAGUUUCGGCGGUUGGGGCUGGACUCGCGGCUUAUCAGCUUGUUGGUGGGGUAGUGGCUUACCAAGGCUUUGACGGGUAGCCGGCCUGAGAGGGUGACCGGCCACAUUGGGACUGAGAUACGGCCCAGACUCCUACGGGAGGCAGCAGUGGGGAACAUUGCACAAUGGGCGGAAGCCUGAUGCAGCAACGCCGCGUGCGGGAUGACGGCCUUCGGGUUGUAAACCGCUUUCGCCUGUGACGAAGCGUGAGUGACGGUAAUGGGUAAAGAAGCACCGGCUAACUACGUG
rnacentral:rRNA from 1 species